rnacentral:misc_RNA from 1 species
GCAAACUUGGUCAUUUAGAGGAAGUAAAAGUCGUAACAAGGUCUCCGUAGGUGAACCUGCGGAGGGAUCAUUACCGAGUGAGGGCCUUCGGGCUCGACCUCCAACCCCAUGUCAUCCGACCCUGUUGCCUCGGGGGAGACCCGGCCCGUUGGGCGCCAGGGGCCCCCGGUGGACCACUCAAACGCUGCAUCAUUGCGUCCGAGUCGUAUUUGAAUCAAUCAAAACUUUCAACAACGGAUCUCUUGGUUCUGGCAUCGAUGAAGAACGCAGC